CACCUGGUUUAACUUCUGAACUGCUUGUAUUAGAAGCACGCUCAGAUUGUUCAUCUGAAACACCUGGUUUAGCUUCUGCAAUGCUUGGCUCAGGAGGACGCACAGAUUGUUCAUCUGAAGCACUUGGAUUAGCUUCUGAACUGCUUGGUUCAAGAGCAUGCACUGAUUGUUCAUCUGAAACACUUGUUUUAGCUUCUGAACUGCUUGUUCCCACAGGAUGCUUGUGUCCUUCUGAAGCAGGUUUAGUAGUCUCCACAUAUUCACUUGAAAUACUUGAUUGUGCUGUACCUUGAUAAUCACCAUCUUCAUUUUCCAGAGACUGUUUUGGCUUAUUCUUUCUAAAUAUAGCACAUAAAUCAUCGAUUUGUUGAACAAAUUGCUUCAUAUCUCGCGUAAUAGUUUGGCUCAGGACAGACAUUAAAAGGGUGAGAGGACGCAUUUUAGCAAAAGUCUUCCGUCUCUGUAGUGCUGUUUUUAUAAGAAAGAUGUCGAUGAUGUCCUCUGCCCAGUAAACCUGAUGCAGAAGCUUGGUCUCCAAUUCAUCAUCCAUUUUUUGCUUGUAUUCUGGCUGUGUCAAGAGUGUCUGAAGCUCUUUUAAUUUCUCCAUGACAUUGUUAAUUUGCUUCCUCAAUCUUGGAUUAUUAAAUUCUUUAUCAUCGAGGAUAGCAUGUAGUUUUUUCAUCAGAAGGUGCACAGCUGGUAUCGUAGCCAAUGCCAUGACUCUACACUUCUUCAGAAGCCAAAUUCACAACCUGUCAAGCUUUUGAAAUGAUUGGCACUAUUUUUGGGGAGCCUUUGGACUACAAAGAACAAAAUUGCAAAGUAGAAUAGGAAGCGUGAGACUGAUACUGCCAUCCGUCAAUAAAACUUCAACUCACUGGUUUCCUCACUUCUUGUUCUCAACAAGUUUGGAAUCCCAUUAUCACCCAAGUAGCUGCAAUCCUAUACUUUUCUUAUGACAAACAAUUACUUCUAUCAUGAAUUUUGCUUUUUUUGUCAUUCAAUUUACAGCAAGUUUUGUACUUCUUUUGGUGCAGGAUUGUGUUCUACAUCAUUUUUUUUCUUCGAGAAUAAAGCAAAGGAGGGUUUGCCUUGGAUCAAAAGGCAAUACCAGAUGCUUAUCCUCCAUGAUGCUAUUAGUGUGUGUACUUGCUCCUUGGUUGCAAGUUAGGAAUUUCUAUCUUUAAAUAUUUUCUUUGAAGGGCUAACAGUUUCAGUAAUUUUAGUUGCCAUGGAUCAAUGUUCUUUUCUCUUCUUAAUGAAGAAGAAAGAUUCAGGUUUCUUGAAUAGAAAAUACUUCCAUUUUAAGCUUUUGCAAGAUUCGAUUUAAAAUCUCAUUGUCAGCAUAGUGGUGACAAUAUUAUUGAAUGCUUUUCUUGUGGGUGACUUAUGUAUUUCUACACGUCCAACUUAUAACAUUGUCAAUAUUCCCUAAAUAGAGUUUGUGUUUUGUUCAUUUGUUUUUUGGAAUAAAGGAAACAAGAUUUGCCUUUGAUUUACAAAAGGUACAAGAUGCUUUCUUAUGAAUCAUAGUUGUAAGCUCAAGCUAGGCUUGUCUUUGCCAAACACACAGGGUAUUCUCCGUGGCAGCAAGUUUGGAACUUUAAAU
rnacentral:misc_RNA from 1 species